GACAGAGGCCUCAAGCGUUAGGCGGAAUCACUGGGCUUAAAGCGUGUGUAGGCGGAUGCCUAAGUACCUUGUGAAAUCCCACGGCUCACCCGUGGAACUGCUUGGUAUACUGGGUGUCUUGAGCCACUUAGGGGCUACCGGAACAAAUGGUGGAGCGGUGAAAUGCGUAGAUAUCAUUUGGAACGCCAAUGGUGAAAACAGGUAGCUGGGAGUGUGCUGACGCUGAGACACGAAAGCCAGGGGAGCAAACGGGG
rnacentral:rRNA from 1 species